AACCCCGAGAAAAUUGGGGCUAAUCCGCGAUAGAUGUGAUGUCCUGGAAUGGUAUUACGUCUAAAGGUAUUUCAUACAUGUUUGAUAUACGCCUAAGGAUGGGACUGCGGCUGAUCAGGCAGUUGGUGAGGUAAUGGCUCACCAAACCAUUGACCAGUACGGGCCAUGAGAGUGGUAGCCCGGAGAUGGACACUGAGACAAGGGUCCAGGCCCUACGGGGCGCAGCAGGCGCGAAACCUCCUCAAUGCACUAACGUGCGAAGGGGUUACCUCGAGUGCUAUCUGAUGAAGGUGGCUUUUCCAUGGUCUAAAAAGCCUAGGGAAUAAGAGGGGGGCAAGACUGGUGUCAGCCGCCGCGGUAACACCAGCCCCUCGAGUGGUGGGGAUGAUUAUUUGGCCUAAAGCGUCCGUAGCCUGCCGGAUAAGUUCCCCGUUAAAUCCAACGUCUCAAGCGUUGGACUGCGGGAAAUACUGUCUGGCUAGAGAGUGGGAGAGGUCAGCGGUAUUCUGGGGGUAGGGGCGAAAUCCUUUGAUCCCCGGAGGACCACCAGUGGCGAAGGCUGCUGACUAGAACACGUCUGACGGUCAGGGACGAAAGCUGGGGUAGCGAACCGGAUUAGAUACCCGGGUAGUCCCAGCCGUAAACGAUGCAUGCUAGGUGUUGGGUUGGCCACGAGCCACCCCAGUGCCGCAGGGAAGCCGUUAAGCAUGCCGCCUGGGAAGUACGGUCGCAAGAUUGAAACUUAAAGGAAUUGGCGGGGGAGCACCACCAGGCGUGAAGCCUGCGGUUUAAUUGGAGUCAACGCCGGG
rnacentral:rRNA from 1 species